rnacentral:lncRNA from 1 species
AAUAGCCUAGUGGUAACACUAGAGUGAACUGGAUCCCAAGGCACCUGGGUUCGAGUCCUCUGGGAUUCCGGAGACCGCCCGUGACCAAAAAAAAAAAAAAAGCAAAAGCAAGACCUGAGAAGAUGUCUUCAUCGCACAACAACAAAAAAACAUCAUCUUCCACUCCUCCAUCUUCCCAACAACCCAACUCAUCCGUUGUUGACCACAACCAAGAUGCUGAAGUGAAGCUCACGGAGACGGGCAGCUAUAUAUGUUUAGUGUGCGGCAGAAGAUUUAUAAGAGAAAUUGAUCGAAAUCUUCAAAGGAGUGUACACAUCGUUUCAUAUAAACAAUUUCGAAACUGAGGAGAAGUGGAAAUGCGAGUAAUGCUAUAAGCGUUACGAUCAACUAAUGAUACCAUCUUCCUAUAUCACUACAAGAAAACACGCCGAAUUCCGACGGAGGUUCCGACGGACAUCAAUGUCGUCGGACGUUUGUGACGGAUUACCGAC